rnacentral:rRNA from 1 species
ACGCUGGCGGCGUGCUUAACACAUGCAAGUCGAACGAAGCUGUUGUUUGGAGACCUUCGGGUGGAAGAAUAACAGACUGAGUGGCGGACGGGUGAGUAACGCGUGGGUAACCUACCUUGCACAGGGGGACAACAGUUGGAAACGACUGCUAAUACCGCAUAAGACCACAGUACCGCAUGGUACAGGGGUAAAAACUGAGGUGGUGCAAGGUGGACCCGCGUCUGAUUAGCUAGUUGGUGGGGUAAAGGCCUACCAAGGCGACGAUCAGUAGCCGACCUGAGAGGGUGAUCGGCCACAUUGGGACUGAGACACGGCCCAAACUCCUACGGGAGGCAGCAGUGGGGAAUAUUGGACAAUGGGGGGAACCCUGAUCCAGCGACGCCGCGUGAGUGAAGAAGUAUUUCGGUAUGUAAAGCUCUAUCAGCAGGGAAGAAAAUGACGGUACCUGACUAAGAAGCCCCGGCUAACUACGUGCCAGCAGCCGCGGUAAUACGUAGGGGGCAAGCGUUAUCCGGAUUUACUGGGUGUAAAGGGAGCGCAGACGGCUUGGCAAGUCUGAAGUGAAAGCCCGGGGCUUAACCCCGGGACUGCUUUGGAAACUGUGAAGCUAGAGUGUCGGAGAGGUAAGUGGAAUUCCCAGUGUAGCGGUGAAAUGCGUAGAUAUUGGGAGGAACACCGGUGGCGAAGGCGGCUUACUGGACGAUAACUGACGUUGAGGCUCGAAGGCGUGGGGAGCAAACGGGAUUAGAUACCCUGGUAGUCCACGCGGUAAACGAUGAAUACUAGGUGUCGGGGGACAUAGUCUUUUCGGUGCCGCCGCUAACGCAUUAAGUAUUCCACCUGGGGAGUACGUUCGCAAGAAUGAAACUCAAAGGAAUUGACGGGGACCCGCACAAGCGGUGGAG